UUUAACUGAAGAGUUUGAUCAUGGCUCAGAUUGAACGCUGGCGGCAGGCUUAACACAUGCAAGUCGAGCGGGGGAAGGUAGCUUGCUACUGGACCUAGCGGCGGACGGGUGAGUAAUGCUUAGGAAUCUGCCUAUUAGUGGGGGACAACAUCUCGAAAGGGAUGCUAAUACCGCAUACGUCCUACGGGAGAAAGCAGGGGAUCUUCGGACCUUGCGCUAAUAGAUGAGCCUAAGUCGGAUUAGCUAGUUGGUGGGGUAAAGGCCUACCAAGGCGACGAUCUGUAGCGGGUCUGAGAGGAUGAUCCGCCACACUGGGACUGAGACACGGCCCAGACUCCUACGGGAGGCAGCAGUGGGGAAUAUUGGACAAUGGGGGGAACCCUGAUCCAGCCAUGCCGCGUGUGUGAAGAAGGCCUUAUGGUUGUAAAGCACUUUAAGCGAGGAGGAGGCUACUUUAGUUAAUACCUAGAGAUAGUGGACGUUACUCGCAGAAUAAGCACCGGCUAACUCUGUGCCAGCAGCCGCGGUAAUACAGAGGGUGCGAGCGUUAAUCGGAUUUACUGGGCGUAAAGCGUGCGUAGGCGGCUUAUUAAGUCGGAUGUGAAAUCCCCGAGCUUAACUUGGGAAUUGCAUUCGAUACUGGUGAGCUAGAGUAUGGGAGAGGAUGGUAGAAUUCCAGGUGUAGCGGUGAAAUGCGUAGAGAUCUGGAGGAAUACCGAUGGCGAAGGCAGCCAUCUGGCCUAAUACUGACGCUGAGGUACGAAAGCAUGGGGAGCAAACAGGAUUAGAUACCCUGGUAGUCCAUGCCGUAAACGAUGUCUACUAGCCGUUGGGGCCUUUGAGGCUUU
rnacentral:rRNA from 1 species